UUGACUUUUCACUUUUAAUAUUCUCCCCGUACUCAGGUACUAUGUCGGGAUCGUCUUCCUCCAUUUUGACCUUCGGAUUCAGCAACGUUCCUAGAAAAGAACCAUGCACUGGGCCAAUUUCAACUUAUACUUCAUUUGGUACAAGGAAUAAUUAGAUGGAGGGGCGAUGGAUAAAAUUAGGACCAGCAGAUAUCAAGCAAAGACGAAUGCAGGUUAUGGGACAUGCUGGCAGGGAGCUCAAAGUGGAUCUUGAUAGGAAGUUAGUUGUCCCCAACAUCAAUGAAUUAACCUGUAUACAAACAGACACAAUACUAGAGUUCCAGCAGUCAAAGACAUUGGUUGCAAUAUACUGACAGUGUCACUGUAAGAAAAAUUGUGAGGAGACAUAUGAAACUGAUAGACUCUGAUGCUUGAGUAUGCAGACUUGAUGGCAGACUGCAAAGAUGGUGCUCUUGGCUGUCUUUAAUAGAGGUUGGUUGCAGAGGGUUCCCUGCACAAUCUAUGGGGAACUCCGAAGCUGCUCACAAAAACAAUUGGGAAGAGCAUGUAAAAAACUAAUAAGAGGACUGGAAGAAACAGCAGAGAGGUCAUCUUCCUGGUUUUGGCACCAUCCAGAUCUUUGCUGGAUGUCAGGUCCAUCAAGUGGUAGAUUGGAGAAUGUCAUUGCCCGGCAGGGUCAAAACAUUUUGAGAUGGUUAGAGACAAUAUUUUGGCGAUCUGAAACAAGCACAUUAGAAGCGGAACAUAUUUAUAGAGAUUGGCAUACAUAAGAGUGCCAAGCUGACAGAUAGAUAAAAGAAAUCCAUCUUUUAUCCCAAUGCCAUAAUUGAUGAUCAUUCAUCAUAACUGCCUAAACAGCUACUAGAGAUCCAUUUGUUUUCAAGCAGAAAGAAAUUCUUUGUUAAUAGUAUUUUGUGGAAAACAAUACCAGUUGCAAUGUUUCGUAUGACAUCUCCUAAUAUCCACAGCUUAGUAGGAUCAACAGUAAGAGGAAUGGUGAACGAACAAGCCAGUUUGGAACUCCCUUUCAUCUCAUUUCCAAGAAAAGUGGUUCAAGCGCACAGAAGAUCAUUUGGUGUCAAAUAAAGUACAUGAAAUUUACCAAUCUGCAUACAGAGUCAAUCAUUAAUCCACAGAAACAGCUCUCCUUAAGGUGCAUCUUGAAGUCGUGUCAUUGAUUCCAACUCGUGUGCAGUACUCUUGGUGUUAGAAUUCCCUGCAGACAUUGACUUGAUCGACCAUUCUAUCCUCAUUGAUUGCCUUAAAUUUUUCUAUGGCAUAUGUGGCGACACUUUUUGGGGGAUAAAAAUCUUACCUUAACAACAGAUAUCAAAUACCUGUGGCUGCAGUUAUCUUACCUGUGUCAUCUGAUUAUGAGCCAAUAUUUGGAGUUCCACAAGGAUUUGUUUAAGCUCCUAACUUCUACAAUGUUCUCGAAAACUAUGAGCAAUGGCACUCUAUCAAGACUUCAGAGAAUAUGGAAUACUGCAGCUAGCUUAAUAAUGAGGACUAUGAAGCAGGAUCAUAAUACACCAACCCUGAUUUCUCUGCACUGGUUGCCAGUAGAGUUCCAGUCCCAGUAAAACAUUAUUGUAACUGUAUUCAAAGCCUCUAUGGAUGUCUCCUUUUUAUUUUCAAGGCCUUGUCAAUUUUUAUAUCCCAGCAAGAUCAUUGCGCUCUGAGAAUUCCAUGUUUAAAAGCUAUCUAAAGACUCACUGCUUUUAGGAUGGCCUUUUACUGUUAACAAUAUUAAGGGUUAUAUUUCUUUUGGGCUAUAUUUAUGACUCCAUUGUUUGAAUUCUUUGUUAUGCCAGUAGAAGCCUUAAAGUAUUCAGAACUUUUACUAUUACUAUUUUUAUUUUUCUAUUUAUAGAUUAAUCUUUAAUUCUUAUGUCAGUUAAAUAUCAUUUAUUUGUACAUGCAUUUUUAUGUUAAAGCGCUUAUGGGUAUUUCCAUUAUAUUUAGUGCUUUACAAAUUUUAUUAUUAUGAUUUUAAAAAAGAUCAGUUGCCAUAUUUUAUGUUACAAUCUUAUAUUACAGUCAACAAUUUCAUCAUUUUUUGCCUUUUUAUUCAUGGUAGAAAAAAGCAAUAUGAUACAAUUUGAUACAGUGUAAAAAAAAUUUCAACUGAUUUAUUUUUAAUAGUUGUAACAUUUUACAGAUAUUGUUCACAGGCGCUCUCUGUCUUUAUUUAUGUAUAAAAAAAAUUAUAUGCAUGGAUCCAGAAAUCUGGUGUGUUUCACUGUAUAUUUUAAACUUUGAUGCUGUUUGAAAUAUUAUCUUAAGAACAUUCAUAAUGAUUAUGAUAAAGUGUAACAUUAUUAGAUUUAGUUACUUUAUA